UGGGGGAUAUUGCACAAUGGGCGAAAGCCUGAUGCAGCGACGCCGCGUGGGGGAUGAAGGCCUUCGGGUUGUAAACUUCUUUUGCUCUGAACAAGGCAUGCUAAUGGGUGUGUUGAGUGUAGGGGUUGAUUAGCGCCGGCUAACUACGUGCCAGCAGCCGCGGUAAUACGUAGGGCGCGAGCGUUGUCCGGAAUUAUUGGGCGUAAAGGGCUUGUAGGUGGCUGGUUGCGUCUGUCGUGAAAGCUCAUGGCUUAACUGUGGGUUUGCGGUGGGUACGGGCUGGCUUGAGUGCAGUAGGGGAGGCUGGAAUUCCUGGUGUAGCGGUGGAAUGCGCUGAUAUCAGGAGGAAUACCGGUGGCGAAGGCGGGUCUCUGGGCUGUUACUGACACUGAGGAGCGAAAGCAUGGGGAGCGAACAGG
rnacentral:rRNA from 1 species